UACGUAGGGCGCAAGCUUGUCCGGAAUUAUUGGGCGUAAAGAGCUCGUAGGCGGCUUGUCACGUCGGGUGUGAAAGCCCCGGGGCUUAACCCCGGGUCUGCAUUCGAUACGGGCAGGCUAGAGUGUGGUAGGGGAGAUCGGAAUUCCUGGUGUAGCGGUGAAAUGCGCAGAUAUCAGGAGGAACACCGGUGGCGAAGGCGGUUCUCUGGGCAUGUCCUGACGUGAGGAGCGAAAGUGUGGGGAGGCGAAC
rnacentral:rRNA from 1 species